UGGGGAAUAUUGCACAAUGGGGGAAACCCUGAUGCAGCGACGCCGCGUGAGCGAAGAAGGUUUUCGAAUCGUAAAGCUCUGUCCUAUGAGAAGAUAAUGACGGUAUCAUAGGAGGAAGCCCCGGCUAAAUACGUGCCAGCAGCCGCGGUAAUACGUAUGGGGCGAGCGUUGUACGGAAUUAUUGGGCGUAAAGGGUACGUAGGCGGUCUAUUAAGUCAGGUGUGAAAGCGUGAGGCUUAACCUCAUUAAGCACUUGAAACUGAUAGACUUGAGUGAAGGAGAGGAAAGUGGAAUUCCUAGUGUAGCGGUGAAAUGCGUAGAUAUUAGGAGGAAUACCGGUGGCGAAGGCGACUUUCUGGACUUUUACUGACGCUCAGGUACGAAAGCGUGGGGAGCAAACAGG
rnacentral:rRNA from 1 species